rnacentral:rRNA from 1 species
UAGGGAAUCUUCGGCAAUGGACGAAAGUCUGACCGAGCAACGCCGCGUGAGUGAAGAAGGUUUUCGGAUCGUAAAACUCUGUUGUUAGAGAAGAACAAGGACGUUAGUAACUGAACGUCCCCUGACGGUAUCUAACCAGAAAGCCACGGCUAACUACGUGCCAGCAGCCGCGGUAAUACGUAGGUGGCAAGCGUUGUCCGGAUUUAUUGGGCGUAAAGCGAGCGCAGGCGGUUUCUUAAGUCUGAUGUGAAAGCCCCCGGCUCAACCGGGGAGGGUCAUUGGAAACUGGGAGACUUGAGUGCAGAAGAGGAGAGUGGAAUUCCAUGUGUAGCGGUGAAAUGCGUAGAUAGAUGGAGGAACACCAGUGGCGAAGGCGGCUCUCUGGUCUGUAACUGACGCUGAGGCUCGAAAGCGGGGGGAGCAAACAGG